GUUGCAUUCGCAGAGGAUGAUGGGGCGCCGAGAUGAACGAGACAGCUCAGCGACGAGACUGUCGCCGUGGCCUCUCCGUUUUGCAGGGCAGCUUUCUCGGAAUUGAUGUUACAUCCGCUAAAGUCCACAAGGCCAGAAGUCAAUACCUCUGGUCUGCAAGCUAAGUGAACUCAGCCUGUAUGGGAGCAAGGAACCAACCCAAAUGUAAAACUGGAAAGAAACUCCGCAAUCUCAUGAACAUCGCAAAGUUAUCUCACUCCAUGGCCAGCAAACACAUUCGCUGAAAUCCUUCUGCUCAAUGUUAACAAUGUUGACUGAGAUCUGUUGCAAGAACCACUAGCAUGGUAAAUGCUGAUCGGAGUCCGGCAAGACUCAGCAUCAUGGUAGAUCUGUACGUAAUGUAACCUCCCUACUUUUGGGGUUCAUUACUCCACAAUAAAACAGUAACAUUUCA